rnacentral:rRNA from 1 species
UACGGAGGGUGCGAGCGUUGUCCGGAAUCACUGGGCGUAAAGGGCGCGUAGGCGGCUUCUCAAGCGUGUGGUGAAAGUCCGGGGCUCAGCCCCGGAUCGGCCGUGCGGACUGGGGAGCUCGAGUUCUGUAGAGGCGGGUGGAAUUCCGGGUGUAGCGGUGGAAUGCGUAGAGAUCCGGAAGAACACCGGUGGCGAAGGCGGCCCGCUGGGCAGAGACUGACGCUGAGGCGCGACAGCGUGGGGAGCAAACAGG